GAUGAAGAACGUAGCGAAAUGCGAUAAGUAAUGUGAAUUGCAGAAUUCAGUGAACCAUCGAAUCUUUGAACGCACAUUGCGCCCGCCAGUAUUCUGGCGGGCAUGCCUGUUCGAGCGUCAUUACAACCCUCAGGCCCCCGGGCCUGGCGUUGGGGAUCGGCGGAGCCCCCCGUGGGCACACGCCGUCCCCCAAAUACAGUGGCGGUCCCGCCGCAGCUUCCAUCGCGUAGUAGCUAACACCUCGCGACUGGAGAGCGGCGCGGCCACGCCGUAAAACACCCAACUCUUCUGAAGUUGACCUCGAAUCAGGUAGGAAUACCCGCUGAACUUAAGCAUAUCAAUAAGCGGAGGA
rnacentral:misc_RNA from 1 species